rnacentral:rRNA from 1 species
GAUGAACGCUGGCGGCGUGCUUAACACAUGCAAGUCGAGCGAACGGACGCGGCGCUUGCUUCUCUGAUGUUAGACGCGGAAGUGAGUGAAACGCGUGUAUAACCUCCUUAUAAGUCUGGGAUAACUACGGGAAACCGGAGCUAAUACCAGAUGAUAUUUUGAACCGUAUGGUUCAAAAGUGAAAGACGGUCUUGCUGCCACUUAUAGAUGGAUCCGCGCUGGAUUAGCUAGUUGGUAAGGUAACGGCUUACCAAGGCAACGAUGCAUAGCCGACCUGAGAGGGUGAUCGGCCACACUGGAACUGAGACACGGUCCAGACUCCUACGGGAGGCAGCAGUAGGGAAUCUUGCGCAAUGGGCGAAAGCCUGACGGAGCAACGCCGCGUGAGUGAUGAAGGUCUUCGGAUCGUAAAGCUCUGUUAUUAGGGAAGAACAGAUUUGGAAUUAACUGUGCAGAUAUUGACGGUACCGAAUCAAAAAGCCCCGGCUAACUACGUG